rnacentral:rRNA from 1 species
ACGCUUUGUGGUUCAACUGAUUUGAAGAGCUUGCUCAGAUAUGACGAUGGACAUUGCAAAGAGUGGCGAACGGGUGAGUAACACGUGGGAAACCUACCUCUUAGCAGGGGAUAACAUUUGGAAACAGAUGCUAAUACCGUAUAACAAUGACAACCGCAUGGUUGUUAUUUAAAAGAUGGUUCUGCUAUCACUAAGAGAUGGUCCCGCGGUGCAUUAGCUAGUUGGUAAGGUAAUGGCUUACCAAGGCGAUGAUGCAUAGCCGAGUUGAGAGACUGAUCGGCCACAAUGGGACUGAGACACGGCCCAUACUCCUACGGGAGGCAGCAGUAGGGAAUCUUCCACAAUGGGCGAAAGCCUGAUGGAGCAACGCCGCGUGUGUGAUGAAGGGUUUCGGCUCGUAAAACACUGUUGUAAGAGAAGAAUGACAUUGAGAGUAACUGUUCAAUGUGUGACGGUAUCUUACCAGAAAGGAACGGCUAAAUACGUGCCAGCAGCCGCGGUAAUACGUAUGUUCCAAGCGUUAUCCGGAUUUAUUGGGCGUAAAGCGAGCGCAGACGGUUAUUUAAGUCUGAAGUGAAAGCCCUCAGCUCAACUGAGGAAUUGCUUUGGAAACUGGAUGACUUGAGUGCAGUAGAGGAAAGUGGAACUCCAUGUGUAGCGGUGAAAUGCGUAGAUAUAUGGAAGAACACCAGUGGCGAAGGCGGCUUUCUGGACUGUAACUGACGUUGAGGCUCGAAAGUGUGGGUAGCAAACAGGAUUAGAUACCCUGGUAGUCCACACCGUAAACGAUGAGUGCUAGGUGUUUGAGGGUUUCCGCCCUUAAGUGCCGCAGCUAACGCAUUAAGCACUCCGCCUGGGGAGUACGACCGCAAGGUUGAAACUCAAAGGAAUUGACGGGGACCCGCACAAGCGGUGGAGCAUGUGGUUUAAUUCGAAGCAACGCGAAGAACCUUACCAGGUCUUGACAUCCCUUGACAACUCCAGAGAUGGAGCGUUCCCUUCGGGGACAAGGUGACAGGUGGUGCAUGGUUGUCGUCAGCUCGUGUCGUGAGAUGUUGGGUUAAGUCCCGCAACGAGCGCAACCCUUAUUACUAGUUGCCAGCAUUCAGUUGGGCACUCUAGUGAGACUGCCGGUGACAAACCGGAGGAAGGUGGGGAUGACGUCAAAUCAUCAUGCCCCUUAUGACCUGGGCUACACACGUGCUACAAUGGCGUAUACAACGAGUUGCCAACCCGCGAGGGUGAGCUAAUCUCUUAAAGUACGUCUCAGUUCGGAUUGUAGGCUGCAACUCGCCUACAUGAAGUCGGAAUCGCUAGUAAUCGCGGAU